rnacentral:rRNA from 1 species
AACGAACGCUGGCGGCAUGCCUAACACAUGCAAGUCGAACGAAACCUUCGGGUCUAGUGGCGCACGGGUGCGUAACGCGUGGGAACCUGCCCUUAGGUUCGGAAUAACUCCUCGAAAGGGGUGCUAAUACCGGAUAAUGUCUUCGGACCAAAGAUUUGUCGCCUUUGGAUGGGCCCGCGUUGGAUUAGCUAGUUGGUAGGGUAAAAGCCUACCAAGGCGACGAUCCAUAGCUGGUCUGAGAGGAUGAUCAGCCACACUGGGACUGAGGCACGGCCCAGACUCCUACGGGAGGCAGCAGUGGGGAAUAUUGGACAAUGGGCGAAAGCCUGAUCCAGCAAUGCCGCGUGAGUGAUGAAGGCCUUAGGGUUGUAAAGCUCUUUUACCCGGGAUGAUAAUGACAGUACCGGGAGAAUAAGCUCCGGCUAACUCCGUG